rnacentral:rRNA from 1 species
UACGUAGGUGGCGAGCGUUAUCCGGAAUUAUUGGGCGUAAAGAGCGCGCAGGUGGUUGAUUAAGUCUGAUGUGAAAGCCCACGGCUUAACCGUGGAGGGUCAUUGGAAACUGGUCGACUUGAGUGCAGAAGAGGGAAGUCGAAUUCCAUGUGUAGCGGUGAAAUGCGUAGAGAUAUGGAGGAACACCAGUGGCAAAGGCGGCUUCCUGGUCUGUAACUGACACUGAGGCGCGAAAGCGUGGGGAGCAAACAGGAUUAGAUA